AGUGGUGCCAGUCCCUGGUGUUGGACAGGUGGGGCAGGGGCUGCAGAACAGCUGGGGACUGGAGGACGAUGAUGAAGAUGACUAUGAAGAGGAAAAAAAUGACAACAGUGGUGAUGAGCAAGUGGAAGAAGUGACAAAGAUGGAUGUGGGCGAAGGAGAUGUGGUUGAGAUAUCAGACAUUGAAGAGGAAGAGGUGGUCAUACUAAACCCAGAGGUGCCAGAAAAACCAAAAAAUACAGGCUCCAAGUCUCACCAGAAGGGGGCAGCAGCAUCCAAGAAACGGCAGAAAAAAUGAGGAACGACUGCAGAUGGAGAUUUGUUCCAAAACGUCAACA